rnacentral:rRNA from 1 species
ACCAUGCAGUCGAACGGUGAAGCCCAGCUUGCUGGGUGGAUCAGUGGCGAACGGGUGAGUAACACGUGAGCAAUCUGCCCCUGACUCUGGGAUAAGCGCUGGAAACGGCGUCUAAUACUGGAUAUGAACCGUGGAGGCAUCUUCAACGGUUGGAAAGAUUUUUUGGUCAGGGAUGAGCUCGCGGCCUAUCAGCUUGUUGGUGAGGUAAUGGCUCACCAAGGCGUCGACGGGUAGCCGGCCUGAGAGGGUGACCGGCCACACUGGGACUGAGACACGGCCCAGACUCCUACGGGAGGCAGCAGUGGGGAAUAUUGCACAAUGGGCGCAAGCCUGAUGCAGCAACGCCGCGUGAGGGAUGACGGCCUUCGGGUUGUAAACCUCUUUUAGCAGGGAAGAAGCGAAAGUGACGGUACCUGCAGAAAAAGCGCCGGCUAACUACGUGCCAGCAGCCGCGGUAAUACGUAGGGCGCAAGCGUUAUCCGGAAUUAUUGGGCGUAAAGAGCUCGUAGGCGGUUUGUCGCGUCUGCUGUGAAAUCCCGAGGCUCAACCUCGGGUCUGCAGUGGGUACGGGCAGACUAGAGUGCGGUAGGGGAGAUUGGAAUUCCUGGUGUAGCGGUGGAAUGCGCAGAUAUCAGGAGGAACACCGAUGGCGAAGGCAGAUCUCUGGGCCGUAACUGACGCUGAGGAGCGAAAGGGUGGGGAGCAAACAGGCUUAGAUACCCUGGUAGUCCACCCCGUAAACGUUGGGAACUAGUUGUGGGGUCCAUUCCACGGAUUCCGUGACGCAGCUAACGCAUUAAGUUCCCCGCCUGGGGAGUACGGCCGCAAGGCUAAAACUCAAAGGAAUUGACGGGGACCCGCACAAGCGGCGGAGCAUGCGGAUUAAUUCGAUGCAACGCGAAGAACCUUACCAAGGCUUGACAUAUACGAGAACGCUGCAGAAAUGUAGAACUCUUUGGACACUCGUAAACAGGUGGUGCAUGGUUGUCGUCAGCUCGUGUCGUGAGAUGUUGGGUUAAGUCCCGCAACGAGCGCAACCCUCGUUCUAUGUUGCCAGCACGUAAUGGUGGGAACUCAUGGGAUACUGCCGGGGUCAACUCGGAGGAAGGUGGGGAUGACGUCAAAUCAUCAUGCCCCUUAUGUCUUGGGCUUCACGCAUGCUACAAUGGCCGGUACAAAGGGCUGCAAUACCGUAAGGUGGAGCGAAUCCCAAAAAGCCGGUCCCAGUUCGGAUUGAGGUCUGCAACUCGACCUCAUGAAGUCGGAGUCGCUAGUAAUCGCAGAUCAGCAACGCUGCGGUGAAUACGUUCCCGGGUCUUGUACACACCGCCCGUCAAGUCAUGAAAGUCGGUAACACCUGAAGCCGGUGGCCCAACCCUUGUGGA